rnacentral:rRNA from 1 species
UAAGCGGAGGAAAAGAAACUAACAAGGAUUCCCCUAGUAACUGCGAGUGAAGCGGGAAAAGCUCAAAUUUAAAAUCUGGUGGUCUUUGGCCAUCCGAGUUGUAAUUUAGAGAAGCGUCUUCCGCGCUGGNCCGUGCACAAGUCUCCUGGAAUGGAGCGUCAUAGAGGGUGAGAAUCCCGUCUUUGGCAUGGACACACCAGGGCUUUUGUGAUGCGCUCUCGAAGAGUCGAGUUGUUUGGGAAUGCAGCUCAAAAUGGGUGGUGAACUCCAUCUAAAGCUAAAUAUUGGCGAGAGACCGAUAGCGAACAAGUACCGUGAGGGAAAGAUGAAAAGCACUUUGGAAAGAGAGUGAAACAGUACGUGAAAUUGUUGAAAGGGAAACGCUUGAAGUCAGUCACGUCGACCGAGACUCAGCCUUGCCUCGGCUUGGUGUACUUCUCGGCUGACGGGUCAGCAUCAAUUUUGCCCCUUGGAUAAUGGCGAGGGAAAUGUGACACCUUUAUGGUGUGUUAUAGUCUCUCGUCGCAUGCAAGGGUUGGGAUUGAGGAACUCAGCACGCGCCCUUUGGGUGUCGGGGCUUUGCCCACGAUACGUGCUUAGGAUGUUGGCAUAAUGGCUUUAAACGACC